rnacentral:tRNA from 1 species
AAGACGAAAAAAAAGACUUCUAAUCUUUAACAAGCUAAAUAGCUUCUUCUUU